GGGUGCGUAGCGCAGUUGGUUGUCGCGCCGCUAUGGCAUAUCGGAGGACGCCGGUUCGAAUCCGGCCCGCCCCA
rnacentral:tRNA from 1 species